rnacentral:lncRNA from 1 species
CCUUCCAAAGUCUCUUUUUAUUAUGGCAUCUGCCAAAAAUCCAAGUUCAGAGUUUCACCAUCUCUGUCAGAUCCAGCUGUGGAUAGAGCUUCUGGGCACUGCUCCUUGAGUGCCCUUCUUCUCAGUGUGAAGCCCUGGAAUCUAAAUAGAGAGGUUAUUUAUUCCUUUAGUCCCAACAUACAAUGGUGAGGCAGGCAGAAGAUAACACAAGAGAGAGUCCCACUCAAAAUGAGAACAGACAGCCCAUAGCAGUCACUGGCCUGUUGUAACUCUGAAUCUUUUGGGCCAAGUGGUGUCAAUUUUCAGCUUAGAGCUCAGCCCUAACUCUCUGGGAGUUACUCUUUGUGGCUGAUUUUUCUCCUUUCUGGUUUCUUGGCUCUGCCUUUUAAGUUAUCCUUCCUUUUCCACAAGAAGUGGUUUAUGUUUUUAAUUGCAUAGACUUCUCAGCCCACGUCCUUUCUGGAAAAGAAGGGAAGGCCUCUUUCUUUUGUAUGCUAUUACUUUCGGUCUAAACUGGUAUAAUUGGUUUAAACAUUUAGUGGGUUUGCUAUAUAUCCAUUUAUAAUGAAUGCCGUUAGAUAACUGUCUCCCCCACAAAUCUCUUUACACAUACCCUUUUUCACUUGGAGCUACCUAUGAGUCUGCAAUGAGACAGCAGCUUGGUUUUUCAGAGAGCCCUGUUGCUUAAUGGAGAGAAUCUGUGAGGCUCUCCCUCAGACCCUCAGAAGGCCUUUUGUUUCUUUGAAAGAGUCUCUGAGAUAUCAUUAGAUCUUCCUUUGGGGGAGAGGUCUUUUUAGGGCUGCAUCCACAGCACAUGGAAGUUCCCAUGUGAGGGGUCAAUCAGAGCUGCACACUAUUUUAUUUUAUAGCUUAUUUUUUAUAGCACUCCACGCACAAUCCAAAAUUUCUGUCUGCAUUACUAUAGUUUUGAAAAAAAGGGAGUUUCCAUCGUGGCUCAGUGGAAACUAAUCCUACUAGUAUUCAUGGGGAUGCAAGUUUGAUCCCUGGCCUUGCUCAAUGGGUUGGUGAUCUGGUAUAGGUCGCAGAUGUAGCUUGGAUCCCCCAUGGCUGUGGCUAUGGUGCAGACCAGCAGCUGCAGCUCCAACUCGACGCCUGGGAACUUCUGUGUGCCAUGGAUGUGGCCCUAAAUAGCAAAAAAAAAAAAAAAAAAAAAAAUUCUAUUCACCCUGAAUAAUAAUUAUUUUAUCUCACACAGUCUGUGAGUCAGGGAUGUGUAUAGGGCACAGCAGGAAUGGCAUAUCUCUGUUUCACAAUCUCUAGGGCCUCAGGAGCACACCCCACUAGAUGACUUCUGGGGGACAAUGUCUGGAGACAUUUUGGUUCUUACAACCAGUGGUAAGGGCUGCUACUGUCAUCUCAUGGACAGAGAGAGAUCCUACAGUGCACACAGGACAGUGCCUCACAGCAAGGAAUUAUCUGCCACCAAAUGUCUGUGGUGCUAAGGUCAGUAAGCCCUAAGCUAACCUUGGAAGUCAUAGAACUUUAUAGCCAACAAAUUCUUACAAGCCACUCGCAUGCUGUAUGGUGAGGACAUUCAAGAUGGCUGUUCUCUUGCUCCUUGCACCAUCCUUGUCUCACCUCUAUCCUAUUCACAUGCAUUGGCUUGCAACCCCCGGCCCCAGCAGGUGAUUGUUCUAAUCCUUAAGCUAUAAUGGCUCCUCCUGCUGAUUCAUUAAAGGGAAACAUCUGCCUUCAUGGUGGUUGUUAACAGGAGCAGUUGUGAGUAAUGUGCCCCAGCUGCUGGCUUCCCAGCUAACUGGUGGGCCUACCUGACGUCACUUCCCCUAUAAAUGGUCUCCUCCCCCCAGUAGCAAAGAUGGCUGUCCUGUACCACCUGCCAGUUGCUGCUCACCAUGGGGUGUUGUUUCCAGGACCUUUGCUUCUGACGUGUAAGAUCCCCUGUCCAAUCAACCACUGAUGUCUCUGCCACUCUCUCCAGGCUUUUUCUUAGGUCUUAAAAUUGGGCAGCUGUAAGCCUUGCAGGCCCAUGGGAUGCAGCCCAACAGUAGCAAGCCAGUCAAGAGGUUGAGGAAACUCCCCUGAGUGCUGAGGUGCCGGAAAACGGAGUUUGGGAUAGGGGUGAAGGAAUCCUGAGAUGGUCGUCCACUGGCAUGUGGGGCCCGGUGGAGGCUGUCUGCCAUGAGGGAUGUCUUCCCGUACCUAAUUAUAGACAGGCAGUAGCCACUGAUGCUAAUAGCCUGUUAAACUCAGAGACUCUUUUCAGUUUGAAAGUAGCAGCCCUGUGCUCCUGGUUGAUCUGACUACACAGGGAUGGCUGAUGAAUGCAGAUAAAUGGCAAGGACCUGGCUUUCCUAUCAAAUACUUGGGUGCUCUCCAGUCAAAUAAUACCCCCAUCCUACUACCCUAAACAAUUAACAGACUUUAGGGGCAUUAACUCAGGACAGGUUUGUGAACUUGGUAUGGCCAGUUACCUGAAAGAGUAUCCCUGGGGCCUGUGGCAAUGGCAAAAUGGUAAGAGUACCCUUAAGCUUCUGGUCCCAGCUAUGGAAGGGGGGCAGAGCGAUGAAACAGCGUGACAGAACAGCAGAUCUAUGCAGCCUAACUGGUGGAAGACAUCACAAAAGGC